rnacentral:lncRNA from 1 species
GAUGGGUGUCGCCGCCCAAUCAAAUUAGAUGUGCAAUUAAAGUGCAGUAUAAACUAGGGAAUGACCCCUAGGUCGUCUCCCAAAGACCAACUUGCGGUUCAGAAUCAGGUCUAACACAGUGGGGGGGGGGGUUUGAAAUGUUGUUUAUGGAUGCAGAAAAAUUAAAAUGAAACUAAAACAGUAAAAACGAAAAUUCACGCUAGAACUAGGCAGCUCUGACCUUUGCUCAAUGUUUUAACCAUAACUUUUUCUACAGAGCUCUAAAUGAGAUGAGN